rnacentral:rRNA from 1 species
GAUGAACGCUGGCGGCGUGCCUAAUACAUGCAAGUCGAGCGAACAGAUGAGGAGCUUGCUCCUCUGACGUUAGCGGCGGACGGGUGAGUAACACGUGGAUAACCUACCUAUAAGACUGGGAUAACUUCGGGAAACCGGAGCUAAUACCGGAUAAUAUAUUGAACCGCAUGGUUCAAUAGUGAAAGACGGUUUUGCUGUCACUUAUAGAUGGAUCCGCGCCGCAUUAGCUAGUUGGUAAGGUAACGGCUUACCAAGGCAACGAUGCGUAGCCGACCUGAGAGGGUGAUCGGCCACACUGGAACUGAGACACGGUCCAGACUCCUACGGGAGGCAGCAGUAGGCAAUCUUCCGCAAAGGGCGAAAGCCUGACGGAGCAACGCCGCGUGAGUGAUGAAGGUCUUCGGAUCGUAAAACUCUGUUAUUAGGGAAGAACAAAUGUGUAAGUAACUAUGCACGUCUUGACGGUACCUAAUCAGAAAGCCACGGCUAACUACGUG